rnacentral:lncRNA from 1 species
UUUUUUGUACAUUACAAUGGCAUGACCCAAACCCUUCCCAGGAGCAGAAAGGGCUGAGACUACCAGCCAGGUCCCACCCAGGGACCACCCUGGGAACCCUGGGCACCUGUACCCACCUCACACACUGCCUCUGACCGGGCACAAGAGCCAAGCCCCAUGCACCAAGGAUGGAAGAGAAAGCCUGGGAGAUGUUCUCUCAGCAGGAUCGCUGUCUUAGAGGCUGGACCUCUCUGUGGCUAUGAUGCCCCAGCAACUUUUAUAAAAAGUUAUCUCAGUGCCGUGCUGCUCUCAGAGUUGCUGGGAUCAAAAGAACAGCUUUACUCAGGGGGAAAAGACAAGGGACCGAAAUAGUCAGGAUAUAUACAGCCAGUUGGACAGCGCGGCUCUGCUAAACUGGAUAUUUGGGUUUUGUUUUGUUGUGCCUUUUUUCUCUCCUUGCUGAGAUGCUUGGAGGAGGUACUGUGGGGUGCAGACCACGCCACUCUGCAGGAGGAGGGAAGUAGGAGCCGUUGCUUCCUGAUAAAGAGUCGGCAGAAACCACCUAGGUUGAUACUAGGUCCUGAGCUCAGACCCCUGUCUUAGCAUCAGUUAAAGGCAGUGAUUUAUUCUUCCAUCAGCAAUUGCCAUUUGAGAAGACUACUAGUAAUCCUCAACACUUGAAACCAAUUAGGUCAAACCGAAUACCCCAGACUUGCAGGAGAUGACACACUUGUUAAGACACUGAAUCGGCCUCCUGGUGCUUUUUCCCAAUACUGAAGUACAAGCUGGAGAAAGACGGGGGAGUCUAAAGGGUCUCCCGCUGGCUACGGGUCUUUGGGACCAAGGCUGGAUGACAAGGGCCCUAGCCAUGGACACUGCAGGGAGGCCAGUGGCCUUUCAGGUGAGCCCGCACGCCCUGACAAAUCCUAGCAGCAAAAAGGGUCCUCGCUGCUGCACAGGUGAAUUCUAAUUCCGAGACCACCAUGUACCCAAGCAGACAAGACGUUGCAGAGGACCCACCAAGUAUGGUGCUGGAUGAAGGAAAUAAAAUCACAGACCCCCCUGCAAGGCUCAAUUGCACAGACCUAAGAGAGCUCCAUAGAAUCUCAACCCACAGAAAUAAGAAAUCGGCGGUCAUGAACGUUCUUUAUCAACUGCAAAGUGUCGUGAAAAGGCAAGUGAAGACUCUCAUUGUUAAAGAACAGAGGAGAGGAGAACCUGUCUACUGAUUCCACGGAGCCUGCAGUUGCCGUGUGGCUGCAUACGGGGUGACUUCAUGGUAAUUAGUUGCCCAAUUCCCAUCAUUAGAGCGGAUCCAGCAGGCUGCCUGGGCCUGGGAGCGGAGCCACUGUCUGCUGAUCUAAUGAUGAUGCUCCCGUGCUAACCUUCCCCCGGGGUGCUCUCCAUCACUGGGCAGCAGGCAGACGAGCUAUUUUCUGGUUUGGCUUUGCCUCUCACAGCUGGGC